AGCACCCAGGGAGGCUGUGUUCAGACGGACAGCCCAUUGUCUGUGCUUCUCCAGUUUCAUCAGGCAGUUUUAGAGGCAUUAAACCCGAACAGGUCACACUGGGCUAACGAAUUUCAUUCUGCGUGGACGACGAUGACCCACGAACCAAAGCCGGCAACUGUGACCUCUGGCCGUGUGGUCUCACAGUGGCGGUGGUUGACAGGUGGCUGGAUCCUGGGCCAGGGAUUCAGGAUCUAUUGAAUGCCUACUAUGUGCUGAGCCUUGCCUGCCUGGGUGCUGGGGACAGAGCUGUUAUAGAGACACAUGCAAAGGAGACGCGCGAAAUCCAAGUUUUCAUAGUCACUGAAUUUUCCAGGAGUGCAACGACCGUGUCAAUUGAGGAGGGCUGUUCUUGGUUUCAUUUGGACGUUAACCAAGAGCUGGUCACCAUUUCGGAAAAUCGCGUCACCAUUGGCCUCACCCACGGGCACACCUGUGAGCAUCUGCACUUGCAGCUGUUGCCUUCCUGGGGACCCUGGAAGGGGGCAAGCGUCUGAAUCCUUCUUUAUGUGGCCGAGGGAGUCCAGCGUCCCUGUAUAUGAUUUUAUGGCAAAUUACCUUCCUUUUAAUCCUCUUUUAUAUUAUAAUGAAGACAUUAUAUUGUUUUAAACAUCAUAUGUACACGUGAAUUAUAUACCUGUAAAUUCAACUUCAGGAUAGAAAGGCACAUUACCAAAUAUUAUAUAAAUACAAUAUAAUAUCUAUUAUAUAAAUAUAUUUUGUAAAAGGAGCGUCGGGUUUGAACGGGUUGGGGAGCCUGUGAGUCAGGAGACGGGAAAUGGUUUCGUGACGGGUGAGUCAGGGCUAAACGGGGGGACCAGGCAGCCGGGACAGCCACCAAGCAG
rnacentral:lncRNA from 1 species